UAUCGCAGCUUCCCUUCACCGAGUGAUCAAAGUUAGCAUCACCAGAGUGGAGCAAAUCGAUAGCAUGUCCCAUCUGACAAGAUGCUUUGAGAAGAAGGCAGCACCUUUCCGCGAUGAUCCAGCUGAAAAGAAAGAAGCACAUGGCGGUGUGUGCCUGGUCACCCCCAGAGAGGAGAGAGCCACCCGCUGCCGGGCAGGACUUCCCCCGGACAUGCCUGACUCAGAGCUGAUUUUGCCCCUUUCUCAUCUCCCUCUGGCCGCAUGCAUGCGACCGGGAGCCACUGGCCGGUCUGGGCUGCCUGUCCCGUGUCCCACAGGCAGCCUGGCAUCUGGAAAGGAUCCACGGCCACGGCUGGACUCACCCCCUCCACCCUCGCUCGCUCCCAGCCUUCGGGGUUUUUCACAGCGAGAAUCCGUGGACUCCAGGCAGGAGACUGUCGGGAAAAGGCCCCCUCGGGAGAGCUCUGGAGCACUUUGCCAAGGCCUAGUGACAACGCCGUCUUCCUCAUUCAUCUGAAUUUGGGAGAUUCCUGUUCAGAGGCCACAAAGCACAGGGCACCGGAGGGGAGGGGCUGGCGUAGCCCCCUUAGGAAGCGUUGCUGGGAGCACAGACCUGGGGGGUUUUGCUGUUCUAUCUGCCUGGACCAGCGGCGAGGGUGAGAGAGGAGAGGGCGUCCACGUCCACGGAGCCAGCCACCCGAGGCUUCCAGGCUGAGCAGCGCCAACCGUGCAUGUUUCUGGGUAGAGCUGCAGGAGGGGAGCAGGCUGGGUGGGAAAGAGUCAAGACUUUGGAAUCCGAGAGACCCAGCAGAGUGGUCUCUGACUUGCCACUUCCUGGCUGUGUGACACUGGCCUGGAGACCUCGCCGAGCUCUGAGCUUAAGGCCCCCAUGCACAGUGGAAAUGGUCAACCAUCCCUGAGAGGUGAACGGAGCGUUGUGGAAGGGCUGGCAUGAAGCAGGUUCGCCCACAAAAUCAAUGCUUCAAUUCCACGUUUCCUGGGCACUGACCGGGAGCCGGGCACAGGGGGUUCCUAGGGGGUGGCCCCAGAGAGUGGACACGAAGCCUUCCGCUCGGUGCUCCUUCUCUCUGGUCUUCUCCCUCUCCUGUGACAUCGUGACCGAAGCCCAGGUGUGAGCAUCUGGGUUUGAAUCUGCGCCUCACUUCCGAGUCACUGAGCUUAAGUUACCCAAUCUGUGUGUGCCUCAGUUUCCCCACCUGGAAAAGGGUCUAGUAAGAGCAUCCACCUCUUAGAUUGCUGUGGAGAUCAGCUGAAUCCAUCCACGCAAAUUAAAUAACAACAAUGAGUGCUUAUGUAGCAGUUACUAUGUGCCAGACACGGUCAACACUCUUCGUUAGUACUACCCCCAUUGCACAGAUGGGAACUCUGAGGCUCAGAGAGACUGCAUAAUUUGCCCAAGGUCACAGAGAGAAGACCCAGGAGUCUGUGUUCCCAACCCCGGAGCUCUGCGGCCACUGGCAUGCAGGGGGUGCUCCAUUCAUGUUUGUUGUUACUGA
rnacentral:lncRNA from 1 species